rnacentral:lncRNA from 1 species
CAAAUACAACCCAAACUGGAAUUAGUGUCCAACAAAAACGGUCUAUAGCGACAUUUUUAAAUAUCUGUACAAGUCAAAAAAAGUGCAGCUUUAAGUUACCGACACUUUUAAAAAGUGUUGUUAUAUGUGGGGUCGCUAGGUAUAUAGUGACAGUUAAAGAGUAUCGCUAUAACCUAAAAAGAAUGCUGCUAAUUUAGCAAUAUUUAUUUAAGCAUCUAGCAACCGCCGGAACUCUACUUGUUGGCUGCGGUGGCGGAGGAGGACGAGAGGGAAGGGCCCUUCGUCUAGUAUUUCAGUGAAAUGAGUGAGAGGAGAAGGGAAGAUGGUAAUCGAUUUUUCUUUGUUUUUUUUUCUGUUUGUAAUCGGGCCAAAUGGGUUGGGUUGGAUGGGUUGAGUAGAGUAACCUUUUAUUUUUUAUUAUAUUCGACUUUAUAUUUAGACAUUAGUUGAUAUUUUUUUAAAUUUUGGCAUAAAUAGGACACUUAGAAAAGUGUCCGAAACAUAUGUCGCUAUAAUCUAAUUCUGUUGUAGUGUGGAAUAAGAUAAUAUUAA